CUUUCUAGCUCUAUGGUUAGCAGCCUUACGCCUUGUGCAAAGGGAAAGAGACCCAAUCGAGGGUCCCGUGCCUCGCACCGACACGUUUCUUUGCGUAUUACUAUCCGUCACUCCACUUGCAGUUGCCAAUAUUAUU